AAGUCAUUGGGAUUUAUAUUAAACCCAAAGGCAAAAUUGACUUAACUAAUUAAUAUAUAGAGAAUAUAUUUUUCUAUAUAUAAUGGGAUUAGUUUUUAGUCUUAUAUUUUAAUAUAAGUCUAUUAAUUCAAUCCCAGGGCGUUCUAUAUAGUUAUGUGUAAUAAUUUGUAAUGAAUUAUUUAUACCUCUAACUAGAGCGUACCUUGAGCAUAUAUUAUGUGACCCGAAAGAUGGUGAACUAUACUUGAUCAGGUUGAAGUCAGGGGAAACCCUGAUGGAAGACCGAAACAGUUCUGACGUGCAAAUCGAUUGUCAGAAUUAAGUAUAGGGGUGAAAGGCCAAUCGAACCAUCUAGUAGCUGGUUCCCUCCGAAGUUUCCCUCAGGAUAGCUGGUGCAUUAUGAAUUAUGAAAGUAAUCUUAUCUGGUAAAGCGAAUGAUUAGAGGCAUUAGGGUCGAAACGACCUUAACCUAUUCUCAAACUUUAAAUGGGUAAAAACUUCACCUUUCUUGAUAUGAAGGUUGAAGAUAUGAUAUAAUGUGCCCAGUGGGCCACUUUUGGUAAGCAGAACUGGCGCUGUGGGAUGAACCAAACGUAAUGUUAUGGUGCCCAAAUUAACAACUCAUGCAGAUACCAUGAAAGGCGUUGGUUGCUUAAAACAGCAGGACGGUGUGCAUGGAAGUCGUAAUCCGCUAAGGAGUGUGUAACAACUCACCUGCCGAAGCAACUAGCCCUUAAAAUGGAUGGCGCUUAAGUUGUAUACCUAUACAUUACCGCUAAAGUAGAUGAUUUUUACAUAUUUUCUAUUUCUAUUAAGAAAAUUGAAAUUUAUGUAUAAAUUUUGAAACUUUAGUGAGUAGGAGGGUACUAUAGUGUGCUUAGAAGUGUUUGGCGUAAGCCUGCAUGGAGCCGCUAUUGGUACAGAUCUUGGUGGUAGUAGCAAAUAAUCGAAUGAGACCUUGGAGGACUGAAGUGGAGAAGGGUUUCGUAUGAACAGUGGUUGAUUACGAGUUAGUCGGUCCUAAGUUCAAGGCGAAAGCCGAAAAUUUUCAAGUACUUAAAAAGCGAAUGUUUAAAAGACUUGAUCAUUUUUCGAACGAAAGGGAAUACGGUUCCAAUUCCGUAACCUGUUGAGUAUCCGUUUGUUAUUAAAAAUGGGCCCCGUGCUCAUCCUGGUAACAGGAACGACCAUAAAGAAGCCGUCGAGAGAUAUCGGAAGAGUUUUCUUUUCUGUUUUAUAGUCGUACUACCAUGGAAGUCUUUCGAAGAGAGAUAUGGUAGAUGGACUAGAAGAGCAUGACAUUUACUGUUGUGUCGAUAUUAUCUCUUCGGACCUUGAAAAUUUAUGGUGGGGUCACGCAAACUUCUCAACAGGCCGUACCGAUAUCCGCAGCUGGUCUCCAAGGUGAAGAGUCUCUAGUCGAUAGAAUAAUGUAGGUAAGGGAAGUCGGCAAAUUAGAUCCGUAACUUCGGGAUAAGGAUUGGCUCUGAAGAUUGAGAUAAUCGGGCUUGAUUGGGAAGCAAUAACAUGGUUUUAUGUACUCGUUCUGGGUAAACAGAGAUUUUCGAAUCUUGUUCCCCGGAUAGUAGUUAUGUAGCCAAUUGUGGAACUUUCUUGCUAAAAUUUUUAAGGAAUUAUCGUAAGAUAUGUUCUUUUUAAAUUGUAACGAUUAUCAAUUAACAAUCAAUUCAGAACUGGCACGGACCCGCGGAAUCCGACUGUCUAAUUAAAACAAAGCAUUGUGAUGGCCCUAACGGGUGUUGACACAAUGUGAUUUCUGCCCAGUGCUCUGAAUGUCAAAGUGAAGAAAUUCAAGUAAGCGCGGGUCAACGGCGGGAGUAACUAUGACUCUCUUAAGGUAGCCAAAUGCCUCGUCAUCUAAUUAGUGACGCGCAUGAAUGGAUUAACGAGAUUCCACCCGUCCCUAUCUACUAUCUAGCGAAACCACAGCCAAGGGAACGGGCUUGGAAAAAUUAGCGGGGAAAGAAGACCCUUUUGAGCUUGACUCUAAUCUGGCAGUGUAAGGAGACAUAAGAGGUGUAGCAUAAGUGGGAGAUAUUAAUUCAUUUGAGUUAUUAUCACCAAUGAAAUACCACUACUCUUAUUGUUUCCUUACUUACUUGAUUAAGUGGAGCGUGCAUCAUAUUCUAGCCAUUAUACGGAUAUAUUUAUAUAUUUUAUGGUAUUGGAAUUUGUUGCAAGUUUGUUGAACAAAGUAUCAAGAGUUAGUUAUAUAAUUGUAAACAGAUACAAAUGAAAUGAUAACUUGAUUAUGGUUAUUGUUAAUAUGUACAUCUGGUAUAACACUUACACUCAGGUAUGAUCCAAUUCAAGGACAUUGCCAGGUGGGGUGUUUGGCUGGGGCGGUACAUCUUUCAAACAAUAACGAAGGUGUCCCAAGGCCAGCUCAGUGCGGACAGAAACCACACAUAGAGCAAAAGGGCAAAAGCUGACUUGAUCUCGGUGUUCAGUACACACAGAGACAGCAAAAGCUCGGCCUAUCGAUCCUUUUGGUUUAAUGAGUUUUUAACAAGAGGUGUCAGAAAAGUUACCAUAGGGAUAACUGGCUUGUGGCGGCCAAGCGUUCAUAGCGACGUUGCUUUUUGAUCCUUCGAUGUCGGCUCUUCCUAUCAUUGUGAAGCAAAAUUCACCAAGCGUUGGAUUGUUCACCCAUGCAAGGGAACGUGAGCUGGGUUUAGACCGUCGUGAGACAGGUUAGUUUUACCCUACUAAUGACAAUAGUUAUUGCGACAGCAUUCCUGCGUAGUACGAGAGGAACCGCAGGUACGGACCAAUGGCACAAUACUUGUUCGAGCGAACAGUGGUAUGACGCUACGUCCGUUGGAUUAUGCCUGAACGCCUCUAAGGUCGUAUCCGUGCUGGACUGCAAUGACAAAAAUGGGGCAAUUGCAUUGUAUGGCAUUUAUAUCAUUUAAAGUUUGUAUUAUAUUAUAAUAUAAACGACAAUGAAUAUGAUGCUAAUGUUAUGGUAACAAAGCAAAUUCGGGAGGAUAUUAUCACCUGAAUGCCGCGCUAGUUACUAAUAAAAACAUUAUUUAAUACAAUGGCGAUGCCUAGAAUCAAUUGUAAACGACUUUGGUAACGGGCA
rnacentral:rRNA from 1 species